rnacentral:rRNA from 1 species
GUGCCAGCAGCCGCGGUAAUACCGGCAGCCCGAGUGAUGGCCGAUAUUAUUGGGCCUAAAGCGUCCGUAGCUGGCCGGACAAGUCCGUUGGGAAAUCUGCUCGCUUAACGAGCAGGCGUCCAGCGGAAACUGUUCGGCUUGGGACCGGAAGACCUGAGGGGUACGUCCGGGGUAGGAGUGAAAUCCUGUAAUCCUGGACGGACCAUCGGUGGCGAAAGCGCCUCAGGAGGACGGAUCCGACAGUGAGGGACGAAAGCUAGGGUCUCGAAUCGGAUUAGAUACCCGUGUAGUCC